ACUGUUAGGGCUUGAUCCCAAGACCAUUGAAGUCAAUGGAAGCCUGUCUAGUGACUUCAGUGGGCUUUGGAUCAGUCCCUAAAUGC
rnacentral:pre_miRNA from 1 species